UACGUAGGGGGCAAGCGUUGUCCGGAAUCAUUGGGCGUAAAGAGCUCGUAGGCGGCUUGUCGCGUCGACUGUGAAAACCCGCGGCUCAACCGCGGGCCUGCAGCCGAUACGGGCAGGCUAGAGUUCGGUAGGGGAGACUGGAAUUCCUGGUGUAGCGGUGAAAUGCGCAGAUAUCAGGAGGAACACCGAUGGCGAAGGCGGCUACCUGGACAGAAACUGACGCUGAGGCGCGAAAGCUAGGGAGCAAACAGGAUUAGAUACCC
rnacentral:rRNA from 1 species